UACGUAGGGUGUGAGCGUUGUCCGGAAUUAUUGGGCGUAAAGAGCUUGUAGGCGGUUUGUCGCGUCUGCCGUGAAAAUUCGAGGCUCAACCUCGAACUUGCGGUGGGUACGGGCAGACUAGAGUGUGGUAGGGGAGACUGGAAUUCCUGGUGUAGCGGUGAAAUGCGCAGAUAUCAGGAGGAACACCGAUGGCGAAGGCAGAUCUCUGGGCCGUAACUGACGCUGAGGAGCGAAAGCGUGGGGAGCGAACAGG
rnacentral:rRNA from 1 species